UGGGGAAUAUUGGCACAAUGGGCGAAAGCCUGAUGCAGCGACGCCGCGUGAGGGCAUGACGGCCUUCGGGCUUGUAAAACCUCUUUCAGCAGGGAAGAAGCGAAAGUGACGGUACCUGCAGAAGAAGCGCCGGCUAACUACGUGCCAGCAGCCGCGGUAAUACGUAGGGCGCAAGCGUUGUCCGGAAUUAUUGGGCGUAAAGAGCUCGUAGGCGGUUAGUCGCGUCUGCUGUGAAAACUCGAGGCUCAACCUCGGGCUUGCAGUGGGUACGGGCUGACUAGAGUGCGGUAGGGGUGACUGGAAUUCCUGGUGUAGCGGUGGAAUGCGCAGAUAUCAGGAGGAACACCGAUGGCGAAGGCAGGUCACUGGGCCGCAACUGACGCUGAGGAGCGAAAGCAUGGGGAGCGAACAGGAUUAGAUACCCUGGUAGUCCAUGCCGUAAACGUUGGGCACUAGGUGUGGGGUCCA
rnacentral:rRNA from 1 species